rfam:Mustela putorius prion protein (PrP) gene, complete cds.
CCACGGGGGUGGCUGGGGACAGCCCCACGGGGGUGGCUGG